UUAUGCUUGGUGGUCAUCCAGAAAUGGAUGAAUCACAUUAUGUAUUGGUCCCACAGCGCCAUCUAUGUUUAUUGAUAUGAUAUCCAAAGCUUUGUUUAUGAGUUCAUAUUAUUCUUUGGAUAAAAAUGGAAUGCAUGCUACAUCAAAAAUGACAUACAAGCUUGUGUUUAUUACUCGGUUCACUUGUUAUACCUUGAAGUGUUUCGUAUGUCGUUGUUAUGCUCUCAAACACUCUUAUGCCUUUGAUAUGUACCUAAAUGCUUCAUGUGUCAAUUGAUACAUGCCUAAAUGCUUCUUUUGCCAAUGAAAUGCUCCAAUUUCCUUUCUCCUAUUGUUAUGUCUAAUGCAUGUUUUUGAACGAGGUAAACCUUUGUGAUUUUAUAUCAAAUGAGAUGACUUCAAAUGAACAUUU
rnacentral:lncRNA from 1 species